GGGUCAGUAGCUCAAUGGUAGAGCGCGGAUCUUAUAAGUCCGUGGUUGAUGGUUCGAAUCCAUCCUGACCCA
rnacentral:tRNA from 1 species